rnacentral:snRNA from 1 species
GGAUGUGAGGACAACUGGAUUGUGACAUGUGUUACCCCAUUGUUCACCAAGGUUGAUUAACUGAUCUGGCUGGCUAGGUGAGUUUCCUCUUCCUCCCUCAUCACUCUACGUACGUUUGCUCCCAAAAGUGCUCACUUGGUAGAAGAGGAUGGCUUUGUCCAAAAGAGGAGAAUCGUUCUUUAGUCAAGGGUAUAAGAGUAGCUUCCCUCCCAAGAUAGAACCUCCAAACAAGCUCUCAAGAAAUAAGGAACAGAAAUCAAUAAAAUGAAAAUA